UAGUACUGGGUGGAUAUUUUAUUGCACCAAUUUAGGCUUCUCCCCAGAGAUUUCUUAAAACAGAAAGGCAGUUGUAAUACCAAGUAUUGCUGUAUCAGGCCACCUGCUACUCCAAAGCCAUGAAUUAACUUGUUCUAAGCCCUCAAGGAAAGAAAAGAGGAAACAGAGGUUUAUUCCCUAUCAAGACAGUCCACUUGAGAAAGUUCUGUCUUGGUUGUAACUUCAGGUUUCUUUCUUACACAGGCAUUUUAUUAAUGCUUUUACGAGUUAGAAGAGUUGGGAUAAUUUGCCAUCUGGAGUUUCUCUGCCUUGCUGAUCUGAGCUCAGACCUGCCAAUUUACCAGAGAUAAUUGAUAACACCCUGUAACAGCUGAGAGGAAAAUGGAAGAAACGGAGAUACUUUUAGUGAAGCAGAAUAAACCACUGAACAGGAAAAAUGAGGAAGCUGUGAGUACCAGUGGAAGGAACGAGCCAGGAAGAGGGACUGGAACCAUCUCAGAAGCCAUGCCCCUCAGGCUGGAACUUGCCCUGUCUCCUCGCAGAUGAGGUAGGAGGCUCAGCACGGGCUGGUGGGAGCAGCCCACAGCAGCAGUGAGGGUCAGUGGGCCUGUGAGUUAAGAAGAAGGUGGCACAGAGCGAGGGUCUCUGGAUCCUGACUGUUUGACUUUUCCAUGAUUAGGAUAAGUAGCCAGGGCUUGGCUAGUUGGAGAGUUACUCGAACCUCAGGUGACAGUUGUAAGGCAGCACAUAGUGAAAAAGAGUCCUAGCCUGGGAAAGUCCAAAACCUUAGGUCUGGUUUCAGUUCACUCACCUAU
rnacentral:lncRNA from 1 species